GGACUCAGCGGUGAUCUGGAUCUGCCUGAGACAUCUGUAUUCCCAUUGGUUCAUUCAGAGGGUCUGGAUGGCUGGCUGGGUGUCUCCUUCCCUUGCUGCUCGUCUCCAUGUGCAUCCUUCCUGAAGCUGCACUCUCCACUAAAGAGGAGGAUUUCCCCUCAUAGAUGAAGAUCAUUCUUUGGUUCAGGGCACAACAACAGCUGCACUUCUCCACCAAAACCUACAAACAAGGUCUCAAAGGGCUGCAUUGGAAACCAUGCCCUCCUUCAUGUAAAGUGGAGCACUCAAAAUUUGCAAUGCAGGAAUUUCAGAAGAAUAGAAAGCAUUU
ensembl:misc_RNA 7SK 7SK RNA